AGGUCGAGAUCGCCGAACCCCACCAAAGGGGGCGGGGGAACCAACUUCUGGGGUGAGUUUCUCCAAGUUCGCUUGGGGAAAGGGGUGAGUCUUCCACCCUAACCCGUCAGCUAACCCCGCAGGCGUAGAAGGGCCGGUGA
rnacentral:sRNA from 2 species